rnacentral:misc_RNA from 1 species
AAGACUAUAGACCUGCGGAGUACCUGCGGAAGGAUCAUUACUGAAGAACUUAACACUCUUCAUUACACUUUUGUGAACCGUCGUCUUCGGACGCUUACUACAAACUCUAGUCUUGUAAAUGAAUGUCGUUGUUAUUCUUAACAAAAUACAACUUUCAACAACGGAUCUCU